AUUGAACGCUGGCGGCAGGCCUAACACAUGCAAGUCGAGCGGCAGCGGGAAAGUAGCUUGCUACUUUUGCCGGCGAGCGGCGGACGGGUGAGUAAUGCCUGGGAAAUUGCCCAGUCGAGGGGGAUAACAGUUGGAAACGACUGCUGAUACCGCAUACGCCCUACGGGGGAAAGCAGGGGACCUUCGGGCCUUGCGCGAUUGGAUAUGCCCAGGUGGGAUUAGCUAGUUGGUGAGGUAAUGGCCCACCAAGGCGACGAUCCCUAGCUGGUCUGAGAGGAUGAUCAGCCACACUGGAACUGAGACACGGUCCAGACUCCUACGGGAGGCAGCAGUGGGGAAUAUUGCACAAUGGGGGAAACCCUGAUGCAGCCAUGCCGCGUGUGUGAAGAAGGCCUUCGGGUUGUAAAGCACUUUCAGCGAGGAGGAAAGGUUGAUGCCUAAUACGUAUCAACUGUGACGUUACUCGCAGAAGAAGCACCGGCUAACUCCGUGCCAGCCGCCGCGGUAAAAC
rnacentral:rRNA from 1 species